rnacentral:rRNA from 1 species
CCUACGUGUGGCAGCAGUGAGGAAUAUUGGUCAAUGGGCGGAAGCCUGAACCAGCCAAGUCGCGUGCAGGAUGACGGCCCUAUGGGUUGUAAACUUCUUUUAUACGGGAACAACACGCCUUACGCGUACGGCUUCGCAUGUACCCUAUGAAUAAGCAUCGGCUAACUCCGUGCCAGCAGCCGCGGUAAUACGGAGGGUCCUGGCGUUAUCCGGAUUUAUUGGGUUUAAAGGGUGCGUAGGCGGCAUGUUAAGCGAGCGGUGAAAUGUCCGGGCUCAACCCGGGCCGUGCGGCGGAAACUGGCGUGCUUGAGUCCGCGGAAAGCAGGCGGAAUGCGUCGUGUAGCGGUGAAAUGCUUAGAUAUGACGAAGAACCCCGAUUGCGAAGGCAGCUUGCUGCAGCGGAACUGACGCUGAGGCUCGAAAGCGCGGGUAUCGAACAGGAUUAGAUACCCGUGUAGUC